GCGAAAGACACGGGGUGCCCGCAACGGGCUGAGAACACACCCGCAGAACCUGAUCGAGUUCGCACUCGCGGAGGGAUGUUGAUGGGCACCGCU
rnacentral:ncRNA from 2 species